rnacentral:rRNA from 1 species
CAAUAGCGUAUAUUUAAGUUGUUGCAGUUAAAAGCAUCGUAGUUGGAUUUCGGUUGAUGAACGGCCGGUCCGCCGUUUCGGUGCUGUCACUGGCUGGUCUGCAACUUCCUGUAGAGGACGCGCUCUGGGUUAACGCUCGGACGCGGAGUCUACGUGGUUACUUUGAAAAAAUUAGAGUGUUCAAAGCGGGCUUACGCUUGAAUAUUUCAGCAUGGAAUAACACUAUAGGACUCCUGUCCUAUUUCGUUGGUCUCGGGACGGGAGUAAUGAUUAAGAGGAACAGUUGGGGGGCAUUCGUAUUUCAUUGUCAGAGGUGAAAUUCUUGGAUUUAUGAAAGACGAACUUCUGCGAAAGCAUUUGCCAAGGAUGUUUUUCAUUAAUCAAGAACGAAAGUUGGGGGGCUCGAAGA